GCCCUGCAGGUGGCAGUCACCCCUUCUCUUUCAUACAGUGUUUUUCCACAUCCUGUUGGAAAACUUUCUUCCUGCUUCCCACCUUGUUGUAGGUGUGAGUCUCUGUUGUUGGAGUCAAACUCUCACAAUGUUUUGUUUUUUUAAGCGGAAGUUUUUUUGUGGGGUUUUCGUGUUUGUUGUUUUGGUGUUUUCCGUUUCGGGGGAGAAAGUCUUGGAGAGCCGCUCUGGGUUCAUCCAGGAGCUCCGGGAAGCUGCGGCUGACCUGGCAGGGGAGGGGAGGAUCCUCCUGGGCAGCCUGGCAGAGCAGCAGACGGUGCUGUCGGUCCAGAAGGCUUUCUCUCAGGUCCUGGGUGUUGUUGCAGGAAGUCUGGCUGGUGGUCUGAACGUUCUGCUGCAGUACAUGUCCCACUUCCUGCACGCUGCCGGGAUCCACGGGGGCUUUCCCAUCAGAAAGGUGACACCUGAGGGGCUGAUCUUUGUGGCUCAGUGGGUCCUGGUCGCUCUGCUUUGCUAUUGGCUGAUCUCCCUGGUCUUCCGAUUGGUUGCCUCGGCUCUGCGGCGCGCCCUGUGGCUGCUGAAGGUGGGCGUGGCCAUCGGCUGUUUCGGGCUGAUCCUGAGCGACCACCGGGCAGGAACAGAGACCAUGGUGGUGCGGCUCGCCAUCCUGGUGUGCGUCUGCGUGCUGCUGGGGGUGGGAACCUCAGGUGGGUCCGUGGCGGCAGAUAAAACGGCUCGUCUGGAGGAGCAGGUGAAGAUCCUGGAGCGACGUCUCAGGGACAUGGAGAGGUGGACUCGGACAGAGGAGUGAGGGAGGAGGCUGCAGAUGAUGGAGCUGUUGCUCCUCCUGAACUUUUCAUGUUUUAAUCUUCAUUGUUCUGACUGACACACGUUCAAACUGUUUGGAUGGGAUGACUGACUAUAGGGAGAGAAAUAAUUACAUGUCCUUUUCACUUCUCCCGUCCCUUCAGAAACACAGAUCAAUCCGCUGAAAUCAGAGGAAAACGACUGAAGCUGAAAGUUUUCCACGUAUCACAGUAAUCCUCUGCUGGUUCUGCUGCUCCAUCAUGGAGAACCUGCCCCCGACCGCACAGCAACACAUGGACGUUCUCCAUGUCCAUGUAUAGGUUCUCUCCAGGUUCUCCAGCCUCCUCCCACAGUCCAGAGACAUGAUGUCAGGUUAACUGGUGGUUCUGAUCUGACCUGAGGAACGAGUGAAUGGCUGUUUGUGAUGGACUGCUGACCUGUCCAGGUGGGAUAGGCUCCGCCCCCUGUGACUCUGGGUUUCCAUCCUGUUUACAGAAGCUGUUUCAGGAAGAGUUCUGAUUGGCUGAGAGGAGCAGUCAAUGGAAGCAGCUUGUCAGACACAAGAAAAAGAAGGAAACACACACGUUUCUGCCCAUCAACACUUUUUGGAUGCAGCUGUGGGUGUGGUCACAUGAUCAGAGCAGGAAAUGGCCACGUGUCGGAAAACUCGUCCUCAGAGCUGUCACUCUGCUGCAGCCUCCUUCAGCUGAGGCCGCUGUGGAGCAGCAGCUCAGGUGUGUGACCACCUGUGGGGAGAGGAGUCCUCACACAGCCGGACCUCCAUAACUGUAACUGGUCUCACCGCAGGAGAAGCAGACCAAAAGUAUUUGCUCCUUAGUCCCAAUGUCUUUAGAUGAACUCAGCUGGCUUCUCAUCCGGUUCUGAGGAAAAACCAAACCAGUUGACCUGCUUCUUGGAGUUUUAACAUCUGCAUCUGAUGAUCUGUGGGCUGGAGGUUUGCUUUCAGCAUGUUUCACUGGGAUCUCAAUAAAGAUAAACCAAAGAUGCUCUUCAUGUUCAGAGAUGAAAGUGUGCAGCCGGGCCUGUUUUUAUACAAUAAAAGCUGUUUGAUUCUU